rnacentral:sRNA from 1 species
GAUGCCAGAGUCAAAAGGUCUUUCAUCCACAUGAGCUUGCUCAUAAGUGGAUGAAAGACCUUGGGACUCGCCCCGAUAUGAGCUUAAAAGCGGGAUGAUAAUCCCACGAUAUGCGAAUGGUGGGUAGGAUUGUGGGAGUGUGUAACACAGAACAAUCCGUUGGCAUC